AAAUGUACAACAGGAGCGACAGGCAGCAACCUGGACACCAAUCGACAUCACUGAAACCCUGGAAAACGCGCUGGAUGGAACAGAACAAAAAGAGGAAAGCAGGAGCCAGCAAAGUACUGAAAAUGAAAGUGAGGAGGGGAAGAAAUGGACGACAAACUACUAAAAACAAUAAAAAGGAGGCGAUCAAUAAAGGUUUUUCCGAACUUGAUAACUACCAGGAAAAAAGUGAUCAAAAAAGACACGUUGAAGCAUGAGAACAGAUACGAGUGUCUGAAGGACUUGGAGGGGAUGGACUAAAAUGACCGGUAUGAUGUACAUCCUUCUUUGUUGCAUGGUUUUAAGAAUAGUAACAUUUAAUGCGAGAGGGCUUUUAAACAUAACCAAAUUUGAGAAAGUUAAAGAAAUGUGUAAAUCAGAAGACAUAGAAACAAUUAACCAAUUGGAGGGACGAUUUUAUAAGUGAAGUGAGGAAAAGAUGGAAUGGAGAAGUUUUCUAUAGCAAUGGUGAUGAUAAAUUUGGUAGAGGGGUAGCAAUACUGACAAAAAAAGGUAGAGACAUAAAUGUAAAAUAAUGUUUAAAAGACACGGUCGGGAAAUGCAUGGCGGUUGAAAUAGAGUAUGAGGAGAGGAAAGUGGUGGUGGUAAAUGUGCAUGCACCAACAGGGGAACAGGAGAAGACGGAGUAUCUUAAAUUUUUAAGGGAAUUUUGUAAAAAAGCACAGCAAGGUUAUAAUAAUGGGGGAUUUUAAUACGGUUUUUAGCUAAUUGGAUAUGGCUGAAGGGAUGGUUUUUAAAACGGGUACAGGGAGAAGGAGUUAAAAUUAUUAAUGGAAGACAGCAAUAUGAGACAUUUGGAGAGAGAGAAACGAAAAGAAGAAAGAAUGGUCAAGAAGGCAGAUGGUCGGGAAUUUUAUGUGUAGAACCAGAAUCGAUUUUAUCCUAUGCACUAGAAACAUAGAAGGUUUUAUGGAAGGGAUAAGGUACGAGGAAACAAGCUUAAGCGACCAUAAGCCCCUGUUCUUGCGCGUAGACUGGAGCGUAGUUAAAAGAGGACCAGGAGUAUGGGUUUUAAAUACAGAAAUUUUAAAAAUGAAGACUAUAUCGUAAAAAUAAAUGAUAAUUGAAAACGAAAAAGAAAACGGGAUUUUCACGGAAGACAAAAGAAUAUGGUGGGAAAACGUAAAACAUGAGGUCAAGAAAAUUUACAAUAAAAUAUUGCACGCGAAUACAGAAAAACAAAAGAUAAGAAGAGAGAAAUACGGGAACGGUGGGGAAAAAGAGCUAAAUAAGAAGGAAAAAAAUUAUACAAAAGUUAAAAGCAAUAGAAUAAGAAAUGCAAGAAAAAAAAAAAUAUCAAGGUGCAAGGUUACGAAGCAAAGCAAGGUAUAUGGUAGAGGGCGAAAAAUGUACAAAAUUCUUUUUUGACCUAGAAAAAAAGCAAAGGCAAAGCUGAAACAAUAAAAGGGAUUAAAGGGGAGAACCGGAAAAUAGUAGAAAAAAUUGAGCAAAUCUUGGAAGAAGUCAAAGCAUUUUAUGAAAAACUUUUUAGCGCAGAGGGGGUAGAUGAAGAAGAGAAGGGGUUUUUACUGAACCAAAUAGAAGCAAGGGUAGGAGAGGAAAGGAAAAAACAAUGUGACCAGGAAAUAAGGGAGGAGGAGAUAGAGAAAGCCAUAGCCCAAUUAAAUAAAAGGAAAAGCCCGGGGAUAGAUGGACGGGGGGGGGGGGGGGGGGGGGGGGGGGUUAAGUUUUACAUUGUUUUUAAGGAGGUUUUAACCAGCACCCUGAAAAAAAUGUACGAGGAGAUUUUUAAGAAUAGAGAGAUGAACCAGAGAAUGGGAAUGGG
ensembl:lncRNA